GACGGAAAGACCCCGUGAACCUUUACUAUAGCUUGACACUGAACAUUGAGCCUUGAUGUGUAGGAUAGGUGGGAGGCUUUGAAGUGUGGACGCCAGUCUGCAUGGAGCCGACCUUGAAAUACCACCCUUUAAUGUUUGAUGUUCUAACGUUGGCCCGUUAUCCGGGUUGCGGACAGUGUCUGGUGGGUAGUUUGACUGGGGCGGUCUCCUCCUAAAGAGUAACGGAGGAGCACGAAGGUUGGCUAAUCCUGGUCGGACAUCAGGAGGUUAGUGCAAUGGCAUA
rnacentral:rRNA from 1 species